CAGUCGCCACGGUAAAACGGAGGGGGCUAGCGUUGUUCGGAAUUACUGGGCGUAAAGCGCACGUAGGCGGCUUGGUAAGUUAGAGGUGAAAGCCUGGAGCUCAACUCCAGAAUUGCCUUUAAGACUGCCGAGCUAGCAGGUGAGAGGGGUAAGUGGAAUUCCGAGUGUAGAGGUGAAAUUCGUAGAUAUUCGGAAGAACACCAGUGGCGAAGGCGGCUUACUGGCUCAUACUGGACGCUGAGGUGCGAAAGCGUGGGGAGCAAACAGGAUUAGAUACCCGUGUAGUCCCUGUCUCUUAUAC
rnacentral:rRNA from 1 species